rnacentral:rRNA from 1 species
AACGAACGCUGGCGGCAUGCCUAACACAUGCAAGUCGAACGAAACCUUCGGGUCUAGUGGCGCACGGGUGCGUAACGCGUGGGAACCUGCCCUUAGGUUCGGAAUAACUCCCCGAAAGGGGUGCUAAUACCGGAUAAUGUCUUCGGACCAAAGAUUUAUCGCCUUUGGAUGGGCCCGCGUUGGAUUAGCUAGUUGGUAGGGUAAAAGCCUACCAAGGCGACGAUCCAUAGCUGGUCUGAGAGGAUGAUCAGCCACACUGGGACUGAGACGCGGCCCAGACUCCUACGGGAGGGAGCAGUGGGGAAUAUUGGACAAUGGGCGAAAGCCUGAUCCAGCAAUGCCGGGUGAGUGAUGAAGGCCUUAGGGUUGUAAAGCUCUUUUAACCGGGAUGAUAAUGACAGUACCGGGAGAAUAAGCUCCGGCUAACUCCGUG